rfam:Populus trichocarpa scaffold_4_contig_490, whole genome shotgun sequence.
UAAUAUGUUCAAGACAGAUUCUUAUCUAGUUGUGACAGACUCACAGAUAAUUAUUCAGAAUCACAUCUUAUCACAAGCCAACUCCAUCACAUUUGUUAUGAUUCAAUUUUAUUUUAUUUGUUUUCAUAAGUAGA